AACCUUCGGGUCAGUGGCGGACGGGUGAGUAACGCGUGAGAAUCUGCCCUCACGAGGGGGACAACAGCUGGAAACGGCUGCUAAUACCCCAUAUGCCGCGAGGUGAAAUGAAUUUCGCCUGAGGAUGAGCUCGCGUCUGAUUAGCUAGUUGGUGUAGGUAAUGGCUCACCAAGGCAUCGAUCAGUAGCUGGUCUGAGAGGAUGAUCAGCCACACUGGGACUGAGACACGGCCCAGACUCCUACGGGAGGCAGCAGUGGGGAAUUUUCCGCAAUGGGCGAAAGCCUGACGGAGCAACGCCGCGUGAGGGAUGAAGGCCUCUGGGCUGUAAACCUCUUUUAUCAAGGAAGAAGAUCUGACGGUACUUGAUGAAUAAGCCACGGCUAAUUCCGUGCCAGCAGCCGCGGUAGUACGGGAGUGGCAAGCGUUAUCCGGAAUUAUUGGGCGUAAAGCGUCCGCAGGCGGCCCUUCAAGUCUGCUGUUAAAAAGUGGAGCUUAACUC
rnacentral:rRNA from 1 species